GACGAACGCUGGCGGCGCGCCUAACACAUGCAAGUCGAACGGAGCUGAGAGGAGCUUGCUUUUCUCAGCUUAGUGGCGAACGGGUGAGUAACGCGUGAGUAACCUGCCCUGGAGUGGGGGACAACAGUUGGAAACGACUGCUAAUACCGCAUAAGCCCACGAUCCGGCAUCGGAUUGAGGGAAAAGGAUUUAUUCGCUUCAGGAUGGACUCGCGUCCAAUUAGCUAGUUGGUGAGGUAACGGCCCACCAAGGCGACGAUUGGUAGCCGGACUGAGAGGUUGAACGGCCACAUUGGGACUGAGACACGGCCCAGACUCCUACGGGAGGCAGCAGUGGGGGAUAUUGCACAAUGGGGGAAACCCUGAUGCAGCGACGCCGCGUGGAGGAAGAAGGUUUCGGAUUGUAAACUCCUGUCGUUAGGGACGAUAAAUGAACGGUACCUAACAAGAAAAGCACCGGCUAACUACGUG
rnacentral:rRNA from 1 species